rnacentral:rRNA from 1 species
CAUUCAAAGAGUGCGUAAUAGCUCACUAGUCGAGUGACCCUGCGCCGAAAAUGUACCGGGGCUAAAACAGUUUACCGAAGCUGUGGAUGACACAAAAGUGUCAUGGUAGGAGAGCGUUCUAUGUGUGAAGAAGGUGUACCGUGAGGAGCGCUGGAACGCAUAGAAGUGAGAAUGCCGGUAUGAGUAGCGAAAGACAGGUGAGAAUCCUGUCCACCGUAAGACUAAGGUUUCCAGGGGAAGGCUCGUCCGCCCUGGGUUAGUCGGGACCUAAGGAGAGACCGAAAGGUGUAUCCGAUGGCCAACAGGUUGAUAUUCCUGUACUAGAGUAUAUAGUGAUGGAGGGACGCAGUAGGCUAACUAAACCGGACGAUUGGAAGAGUCCGGCUAAGCAGUGAGGUGUAAGAUGAGUCAAAUGCUUAUCUUUAUAACAUUGAGCUGUGAUGGGGAGCGAAUUUUAGUAGCGAAGUUAGUGAUGUCACACUGCCAAGAAAAGCUUCUAGCGUUUAAUGAUACUCUACCCGUACCGCAAACCGACACAGGUAGUCGAGGCGAGUAGCCUCAGGUGAUCGAGAGAACUCUCGUUAAGGAACUCGGCAAAAUGACCCCGUAACUUCGGGAGAAGGGGUGCUGACUUAGGUCAGCCGCAGUGAAUAGGCCCAAGCAACUGUUUAUCAAAAACACAGCUCUCUGCUAAAUCGUAAGAUGAUGUAUAGGGGGUGACGCCUGCCCGGUGCUGGAAGGUUAAGAGGAGGGUUUAGCGCAAGCGAAGAUCUGAAUUGAAGCCCCAGUAAACGGCGGCCGUAACUAUAACGGUCCUAAGGUAGCGAAAUUCCUUGUCGGGUAAGUUCCGACCCGCACGAAAGGCGUAAUGAUUUGGGCACUGUCUCAACGAGAGACUCGGUGAAAUUUUAGUACCUGUGAAGAUGCAGGUUACCCGCGACAGGACGGAAAGACCCCAUGGAGCUUUACUGCAGUUUGAUAUUGAGUAUCUGUACCACAUGUACAGGAUAGGUAGGAGCCAUUGACUUCGGGACGCCAGUUUCGAAUGAGGCGCUGUUGGGAUACUACCCUUGUGUUAUGGCUACUCUAACCCAGAUAGGUUAUCCCUAUCGGAGACAGUGUCUGACGGGCAGUUUGACUGGGGCGGUCGCCUCCUAAAGAGUAACGGAGGCGCCCAAAGGUUCCCUCAGAUUGGUUGGAAAUCAAUCGCAGAGUGUAAAGGUAUAAGGGAGCUUGACUGCGAGAGCUACAACUCGAGCAGGGACGAAAGUCGGGCUUAGUGAUCCGGUGGUACCGAAUGGAAGGGCCAUCGCUCAACGGAUAAAAGCUACCCUGGGGAUAACAGGCUUAUCUCCCCCAAGAGUUCACAUCGACGGGGAGGUUUGGCACCUCGAUGUCGGCUCGUCGCAUCCUGGGGCUGUAGUCGGUCCCAAGGGUUGGGCUGUUCGCCCAUUAAAGCGGCACGCGAGCUGGGUUCAGAACGUCGUGAGACAGUUCGGUCCCUAUCCGUCGCGGGCGUAGGAAAUUUGAGAGGAUCUGCUCCUAGUACGAGAGGACCAGAGUGGACUUACCGCUGGUGUACCAGUUGUCUUGCCAAAGGCAUCGCUGGGUAGCUAUGUAGGGAAGGGAUAAGCGCUGAAAGCAUCUAAGUGCGAAGCCCCCCUCAAGAUGAGAUUUCCCAUGAUUUUAUAUCAGUAAGAGCCCUGAGAGAUGAUCAGGUAGAUAGGUUAGGAGUGUAAGUGUAGCGAUACAUGUAGCGGACUAAUACUAAUAGCUCGAGGACUUAUCCAAAA